GGGUGAGGAAUACAUCGGAAUCUACUUUUUCGUGGGGGAUAACGUAGGGAAACUUACGCUAAUACCGCAUACGACCUACGGGUGAAAGCAGGGGAUCUUCGGACCUUGCGCGAUUGAAUGAGCCGAUGUCGGAUUAGCUAGUUGGCGGGGUAAAGGCCCACCAAGGCGACGAUCCGUAGCUGGUCUGAGAGGAUGAUCAGCCACACUGGAACUGAGACACGGUCCAGACUCCUACGGGAGGCAGCAGUGGGGAAUAUUGGACAAUGGGCGCAAGCCUGAUCCAGCCAUACCGCGUGGGUGAAGAAGGCCUUCGGGUUGUAAAGCCCUUUUGUUGGGAAAGAAAUCCAGCCGGCUAAUACCUGGUUGGGAUGACGGUACCCAAAGAAUAAGCACCGGCUAACUUCGUGCCAGCAGCCGCGGUAAUACGAAGGGUGCAAGCGUUACUCGGAAUUACUGGGCGUAAAGCGUGCGUAGGUGGUUGUUUAAGUCUGUUGUGAAAGCCCUGGGCUCAACCUGGGAACUGCAGUGGAAACUGGACAACUAGAGUGUGGUAGAGGGUAGCGGAAUUCCCGGUGUAGCAGUGAAAUGCGUAGAGAUCGGGAGGAACAUCCAUGG
rnacentral:rRNA from 1 species